UACGUAGGGUGCAAGCGUUUAAUCGGAAUUACUGGGCGUAAAGCGUGCGCAGGCGGUUAUGCAAGACAGAUGUGAAAUCCCCCGGGCUCAACCUGGGAACUGCAUUUGUGACUGCAUAGCUAGAGUACGGUAGAGGGGGAUGGAAUUCCGCGUGUAGCAGUGAAAUGCGUAGAUAUGCGGAGGAACACCGAUGGCGAAGGCAAUCCCCUGGACCUGUACUGACGCUCAUGCACGAAAAGCGUGGGGGAGCAAACAGG
rnacentral:rRNA from 1 species